UACGAAGGCUCCAAGCGUUAUCCGGAUUUAUUGGGCGUAAAGCGUGCGCAGGUGGUUUGAUGCGUCUUGUGUUAAAUCCUAUUGCCUAACAAUAGGGCUGCAUGGGAUACGGUCAAACUAGAGGAUAUGAGAGGUUGCUGGAACUCACAGUGUAGGGGUGAAAUCCGUUGAUAUUGUGGGGAACACCAAAGGCGAAGGCAAGCAACUGGCAUAUUUCCUGACACUCAUUGCACGAAAGCUAGGGUCGCGAAUGGG
rnacentral:misc_RNA from 1 species